AAGGAGGCAACCCAAAUUCCAAACAGCGUUCUGGCUUUUGUUGCCAUCUGCCAGGUGCCCAACUACCUAUUUUCUGGAUCACUGUCUUCCACGCUUUUUUCAGUAUUAUCCUGCCAGCUCUGUCAGAUGUUUGCCUGGCCAAAUGGGCCAGUCCAGGACCUCCAGAGGACCAGCUAUUCUGACACCGGGCACAGUCAUAUCAUUCCUGAAACAUCAGCUGGAUGUUUAGAUGAGACUAAACCAUCAUUCGGACAGCCUGCUAAGCAAACAGGGAGAACAACUUUGACUGAAGAUGCUGAAUUGGUGGAGAUGUUCCCUGCUUAGCCGUAAGCCUAGAUACGUGAUAUGUGAAUGGACUGAACCAGAUCAUGGAGGUGCUAGUUCAAGAAAAGACACCCCCCAGCUUGAGAAGAUCCCUUAUGCUUUACCCACUGAGUGUUCAGUCUUGGAGAGACCAUGAUCUAAAGAUCGCAGCCUCAAGGCGCCAAGAGCCCAUCAGCAGCUCUUCGGGAACUGAUCCAGAGGUACAUCAAAGCAGGUCAAGGACAGGCUGUAAACAGAAGAGCGUAAACUUUCUUCCCGGGUAUUGGUUAACAAGUUCAGAUAACAGGCUCACCUCUCCAGGUGCAAAACGAGACACGGGAAAGAUUGCUGCAGAAGAUCUCACCAAUUGCCAGGGACUUGCGUAAGCCACAACAAAGCCCAACAAUCUUACUUAAGUGCGUACACAAGCCAUCCUGCCUGUACUGUACAAGAUGCUGGAACAGGAAAAUCUAGGGUCAAGACCACUCCCGGAAGCCUGGUAGCUACUUUCUGGCUCGCAAAUUUUAUUAAA